GUAGAGAUGCCUUUUUUUUCUUUUAUAUAGCUCAAAACAAAGUAAUGAAUAAAACUAUAGCUGUUUAUAAUUUAACAUAUAUUUGUUUUAUUUUUCAGGAUGGUUGGGUGGCCUUUAGGACAGUUCUUCUGAACAAACGACUGACAGCAGCUGACUUCCAUAACGGUUACUUGAAUCAGACAGUCAAAACGAACACUUCCAGUAAACCAGCUGAAGGACAGUUUGUCAGUAGAAAAGGAAGAACAGAAGAGCUUCAGACAAAUACUUGGAGAGGUCAAAAAAACAAAUAAAGGAAGCAGUGACUUUGGAGGGCAGCGGUAUCUCCACCUGGUUUAGACAGCACUUUGAUACCAGCCCAAGAAAAAAGAAAAAUUCUGUGACUUAACAUUUUUCUAAAAUGUGAUUGUGAUAUGUAUUCUGAAUAGAUAAUAUACAAGGAUGCUCACACCUAUUCAGGAAUUGGUUGCUGACUAUAAAGCAACAUUGCUUCCCUGUUCAUUCCAUUUGCCCAGUCAGCCUUAUCACCAUCAGUUUGACACUCUUAGUACUUUUCUCUGAGGCCAGCAGAUUUAGCUGCUCUGUCACACAAAGAAUAUGAACCAUCAGCACAUUAGUUGUGGUGGGCACAUGGCCCAUUAUUCUGUCUCGCCCUUGCUGUUCCAGUGUCUCUCAGUUUUCAUGGGGGUUUUUCCCAGCAUCCACACAGCUGUCAUUUUUGGCAUUUCGAACAUCUGAUACAUCUAUUAGAUGGAUUUUUUAAGUGGAUCUUUUUGAUACAAGCAUUGAUUUAUUUAUUUGCCAAAAUCACUUUAGCACCCCAUCAAACUUCGAGCCACUGAACUAAAGCCUGGUAACCUUAACCUCUAAGUCCCCAGAGGCAUACAAGCAGGGAUAAAUUGUUUACUAAUCAUCCCUGGAACUGUGCAGCUCCCUUGUGUAAAAAAGGAAGACAAAGAAACGAUUUUACCGUUAUGACCUCUUUUAAAUUGGAUUUUCUCCCAGAGAUGUUGGUCGAUCGUCACUCUUUGGACAAUAGUCCUGUCAGGAAGAAGAUGAAUGGAUCUCUGGAUCAUCCAGAUCAACCAGAUAUUGAUGCUAUUAAGAUGUUUGUGGGACAAAUCCCACGGUCAUGGUCUGAAGAGCAGCUUCGUGAGCUGUUUGAACCCUUUGGAUCAGUCUACGAGAUUAAUGUCUUACGAGACCGGAGCCAAAACCCACCACAGAGCAAAGGUUGUUGUUUUGUAACAUAUUAUACUCGUAAAUCAG